AACAAGGCCUAAGUUUGCCAUUUUGAAAUCCCGCCAGUGCAAAAAUGCAGGAAAAUAAGGCCUAGUCCACAUGGACAUGGGUAUUUCUAACCUGAGUUUUUCCUCCAAACAAAUCCUGUUCACACAUGCUCAGUUUAAAAGAAAUCUCUGUCCACAUGAAAAAGCAAAAACACGCUAUCAAGCACUGUCAAGAGCAUGCCACACCAGUAGGCAACAAUAUAACCUCUGAUGUCAAAUACAGCAGAUAACGGUGCACACUCUGACGUCGCAGGGCAAAAACCCUGGUUUUACUGCAUCCAUCGUUUUCUUAAAAUCCUUACCCUGGCAGGGAUUUUCAAAAAUGUUUGGUUUUAGUGCCCUGAUACUGAAUUUUUGCGUGGACAAACGGCCGAACCACGUUUAAAAAUGACACGGCUUUAAAAAUACUCGGGUCCGUGUGGACUAGGUCUAAGUCUUUAAUAGAAUCGUGAGUGUCCAUUGAGUUUACAUAUUACAAAUACACAGAUAAUGUUGCUUUGUUUGAAUGCAAAUGGGGUGUGAGAGAGGCUGACUUUUUAAUAAUGGUUGUUGUGGAUCUUGUAUCAAAUUUGUCUUAAGCCCUGUUUUCUUUCUCUCUCUCUCUCUCUCUCUCUCUCUCUCCUAUAUAAUUUGAAAAUUACAUUGCUGUAGUUUGCAAUGAAUUGUGGGAGCAUGCUAAAUGCAAAUUUUACAGUAUGUCUGCAAUAUUGUAUUUUUAAAAUAGGCUAAUAUGUAAAUGCUACAGGACAACAUGUAAUGACACUUAUUAUUUUAUUUUAUGUAUUUAUUGAAAAUGUCAGCUGUGGUACUAGUUUGGAAAUAAAAGCUUUGGCACUUUACAAUAACUGCAAUAAAUGCAGCCUAUUAAAUGAAUUAUAAACAUGCAUGUAGAUUCUUUUAAUGUACAAAUCUUUGUCAAAAAUAUUUGAUAAGAAACACAUUUAGACAACAUGUGCAUAGCGCAGUACGUGUGAUGUCACGACGUCAUCAGCAAAUUUGCGCGCGGUGCACAUGCGCAUUGCGAGUAUGCGCAGACAGGUGUCUACGGAGUGGAAAGAAGUUGUUGCAUCUGAUAAUUCUUCAAUCGUGUAGCAGCAACUGCAGCUUACAUGGAAUGAGGAUUAUCGGAUUCAUCUACACUCACUGAUCAUCCAAGGUGAAUUGAUGACCUCAAGCAAAUGGAUGUUGUUGUCAUCUGAAGAGAAGGUUGUCCUGGGCCCAUGUUUAGAGGCAUUUGGGGCAUAUCAGACACAUAUCAGAAUCAAGCUGCAUGCACACUUGAGUUUAUUCAGAGAGAAGUUGUGGGCAUCAGUCCGGAAACUGGAUCAAAAAUUUGCUGCUGGAAUGUGAGACAAAUAAAGGCAUGGAAUGAACCCAAAUGUAUGAACACUGCUACGAAAACUAAUGGACUUUAAAUGGCUUGCCAGUUAAUUCCAAUGGAAUUGAAGAAGAGACUCUGACAAGAUUUUCAAGUUUGUGUUUAAUUUAAAAGUUUAUCUUCAUAGAUAAGCAAUUUAAAGGUAGGCACAGUUAAAACUAUUUCUUGUGUGUUUGUUUAAACUGUAAAUUUAUGACUGAAGUUUGGUCACUAUGUAGUAAUGUGUUCCUUUGUGGUUAAUUAAAUGCUGCAGUGCUUAGUGGUAUUCGUUGUUGUAUUUCCAAGGCUAAAGCCUUAUUUUGUGAUCUGCAUUGUAUUGGAGAGUUUUGGAAACUAAUACUUAUUAUCUUAAUGCAUUGGAAAGUUUUGGACUAUUGAACAAUAAAUGCAUUUGGCUACA